AUUGAACGCUGGCGGCAGGCCUAACACAUGCAAGUCGAACGAGUGGCGGACGGGUGAGUAAUGUCUGGGAAACUGCCCGAUGGAGGGGGAUAACUACUGGAAACGGUAGCUAAUACCGCAUACCAUCGGAUGUGCCAAGAUGGGAUUCGCUAGUAGGUGGGGUAAAGGCUCACCAAGGCAACGAUCCCUAGCUGGUCUGAGAGGAUGACCAGCCACACUGGAACUGAGACACGUUCCAGACUCCUACGGGAGGCAGCAGUGGGGAAUAUUGCACAAUGGGCGCAAGCCUGAUGCAGCCAUGCCGCGUGUAUGAAGAAGGCCUUCGGGUUGUAAAGUACUUGCAGCGGGGAGGCGUUACUCACAGAAGAAGCACCGGCUAACUCCGUGCCAGCAGCCGCGGUAAGUC
rnacentral:rRNA from 1 species